GAUGAAGAACGCAGCGAAAUGCGAUAAGUAAUGUGAAUUGCAGAAUUCAGUGAAUCAUCGAAUCUUUGAACGCACCUUGCGCCCUUUGGCUAUUCCGAAGGGCAUGCCUGUUUGAGUAUCAUGAACACCUCAACUCCUCAUGGCUUGCCAUGAUGAGCUUGGACUUGGGGGUCUUGCUGGCCUGUGGUCAGCUCCUCUCAAAUGAAUCAGCUUGCCAGUGAUUGGUGGCACCACAGGUGUGAUAAACAUCUACGCUUGUGGUUCCCCACCAUGUAAACUUUAGCGAUAGAGGUUCGCUGGAGCUCACAAAUGUCUUUCCUCAGUGAAGACAGCUCUUUGAUUGUUUGAUCUCAAAUCAGGUAGGACUACCCGCUGAACUUAAGCAUAUCAAUAAGCGGAGGA
rnacentral:misc_RNA from 1 species